GAAAAUCACAGGUAGGUGAGUUUGAUCAGGGUUGGAGCUAAACUCUGCAGCGCAUUGGCCCUCCAGGGCAAGAUUUGAGGAACCCUGUCUAGACAGACCAGCUGAGAAGUGUCCAAAACCCCUCUACAACCAUAAACCAUCUUAGGAUGGUUUAAGAUAUUAUUGUGAAGCAGGCCAUAAGCAGCAGGAGACGAGCAUCGUGUGUGAGCCGGAGCGUAUGUUUGUCUAUAUUAGCAUCUAGAGGAGAUGGAAGACAGAUGUCUUAUGUCAGAUGUUCGGUUGGUCGAGGCCCACGGUCAGCCGGAGAAACCAACCAGACUGAUGCUCUCACCUCGUCCGCAGAUCAUCGCUGGUCUCUGCUAUGGAAGUGCAUUGAAAGGGGGGGUGUUGCAUGGAUCAUUGACCAGUUCUGCAAGGGUAAGGCUUCAAGAUCAGCAUACGUUGUCAAUCAGGUGCUGCAGAUGCUCCAGGAGAGAAUCGGAGCUCUUAUAGUGCCCUCUGCUGGUCUCUUGCUGCAUGUCACAAAACUCAUCGAGAGACGCCAUCAAAGCAACCAUUGUCCAGCCAUUCAGACGGGCACUCCGAGAGAGUCUGCAAAGCUACGGGAAACUUGGCCCGAAAGAUGUGGCUGGGUUCCAUGUUUAAACACAUCCUGUCCUAGCUUAGCAAAAGCAUGAACCAUGGCGUUAAAGAUUAGCUAAAACUUUCACCCUGUCUGUUGCAGAGAUCAUAGACCUUGUGUCUGGAGCCAUGUCUACCUUAUACGUUGAGUAUGAUGUUGUUUCUUCCUCCAAGAUCUUCCUUUCUCCUCUCGCCAUCACCUCUGCUAGAGACGUUGUGACAAUUUCACUCGCUAGUUGGUCAGCAAUAACCCACAUGCUUUUCACACAACCCUCAUCCUUUACUUUGAUCUUGUUUGUGGUGAUAAAAUGAAGGAUAUCUGCAGAAAUUUGAGCUGCAAAGUCAGUCAGCCUGGGAACAUAAUUUUGGAGUCCACCAUCAUCAACUUCUCCAUCCUCGCUUUCUUCUAAGCCUCCGUUUCGACAGCACUCCAGUGAAAGUGAGCGCACUAGUCGGUUCUCCAUUAGUGGUUGCAUGUGGUCUUUGGGGGUCGGUGGAGGGGGGUGAAGGAAGGAAUUCUUUAGCCAAUCCUCCCUUUAGUUUCCUUGUGAAACUGUCUCGACUCUUUAUCAUCUCCGGAAGUAAAGGGGUGCUUGGAGGAGCAUCAGGGUACUCAAUAGAGCCCAGACUAGCCAUGCUCUUCAAGGAAGUAGCAUAUACUGUGGUAGAUGUGUCAUCAUAUUCUUCCAUCUUGUUGUCUGUUUCCAUUUCAGAUGUGUUUUUAUCACAGUUGUACCCCGAAGAGCACAGAACCAAUGCAUUUCCAUAAGUCCCCUCCACAACCCCGUACUUCUGGAUGAUGGAUCAUCAGAGUGAUGAUGCCUCUACAUCUCUUCCAAUGCUUUGCAAAAGACUUGUAAAGUUAACUCUUCAGCUAGCAUCUCAACAUCGUCCCCUCUCACGUUGACGGAUUCUCUUGGGUUUCUGAUCCUGACGGCUGAGUCUAUAAUAGCUUUGGCUGUCAUCUGUGCAAAGUGUUGAAUGGGCUUUAAAUUCUGUUCUAAUGUUACAUCUAGCAAAUGGCUGUAUGUUUCCAAAGUGUGUUGGAUUGAUGAUGGGUUAUAUGCAGGUUGUGGGUAUGAUUCACCAUGUAUUACUACCUGUGCAGGUUGUAACAGAAAAGUGAAGACUUGACUUUCAAAAAGUAAGGUUGCUAAUACAAUUUAUACAGUGAACAAUUUAUACUUUUAUACUUUAGCUGUUUUUUUCUAUGGUGUUAAAUAUUUGUAAACUUAAUUUAGAAGAGAUUGAAAAGUCUCACGACUAAAGUAUUUACUUGCAGGCUUUUAAUAUACUUUUAUACUAAAUACUAUGCUAACAUUUCUGUACUUGCAUCAGAGUGAGCAGAUUCUGAAGUGGUGACUAGAUUACACAGUUUAAGUGAGCUGCACAGCCAAUCCUCAUUAUUCAUCUGGAAAAGAGAUUGAACAAGAUGUAAUUUAGGGUUGGACAAUAUAUUGAUACCAUAUAGGUUAUCAAUAUUUUUUCAAACAUUGUUCUGAGUCAAUGUUGUUCAUAUAUUCUACACGUAGAUUACCUUCACCAUCUAAGGCUCACUUAAGGUUACUUAAAAAUAAC
ensembl:lncRNA